rnacentral:tRNA from 1 species
GCCGAGGUGGUGGAGUAGUCAAUCACGUCAGUCUGUAAAACUGAUGCCGCAAGGCUUCGAAAGUGCAAAUCUUUCCCUCGGCA